GAUGAACGCUGGCGGCGUGCCUAAUACAUGCAAGUCGAGCGAACAGACGAGGAGCUUGCUCCUCUGACGUUAGCGGCGGACGGGUGAGUAACACGUGGAUAACCUACCUAUAAGACUGGGAUAACUUCGGGAAACCGGAGCUAAUACCGGAUAAUAUAUUGAACCGCAUGGUUCAAUAGUGAAAGACGGUUUUGCUGUCACUUAUAGAUGGAUCCGCGCCGCAUUAGCUAGUUGGUAAGGUAACGGCUUACCAAGGCAACGAUGCGUAGCCGACCUGAGAGGGUGAUCGGCCACACUGGAACUGAGACACGGUCCAGACUCCUACGGGAGGCAGCAUGAGGGAAUCUUCCGCAAUGGGCGAAAGCCUGACGGAGCAACGCCGCGUGAGUGAUGAAGGUCUUCGGAUCGUAAAACUCUGUUAUUAGGGAAGAACAAAUGUGUAAGUAACUAUGCACGUCUUGACGGUACCUAAUCAGAAAGCCACGGCUAACUACGU
rnacentral:rRNA from 1 species